rnacentral:rRNA from 1 species
ACUCCUGCGGGAGGCAGCAGUGGGGAAUAUUGGACAAUGGGCGCAAGCCUGAUCCAGCCAUGCCGCGUGAGUGAUGAAGGCCCUAGGGUUGUAAAGCUCUUUCACCGGAGAAGAUAAUGACGGUAUCCGGAGAAGAAGCCCCGGCUAACUUCGUGCCAGCAGCCGCGGUAAUACGAAGGGGGCUAGCGUUGUUCGGAAUUACUGGGCGUAAAGCGCACGUAGGCGGAUCGAUCAGUCAGGGGUGAAAUCCCAGGGCUCAACCCUGGAACUGCCUUUGAUACUGUCGAUCUGGAGUAUGGAAGAGGUGAGUGGAAUUCCGAGUGUAGAGGUGAAAUUCGUAGAUAUUCGGAGGAACACCAGUGGCGAAGGCGGCUCACUGGUCCAUUACUGACGCUGAGGUGCGAAAGCGUGGGGAGCAAACAGGAUUAGAAACCCGUGUAGUCCCAUGAU